AAGUGCUCUAAUUAAUAUAAAAUCUAAUUCUUAAGUUUAUUUUUAACUCAGCUUCAAGAGCUUUUUACAUAAUCUAGUUAAACAAGCGUUAUGAAUAUUUUUAUUAUUAAUUAUUUUCAAUCCUUCUGCCAAUUAAAUUUUCUUUAAUACUACGCAGUGAACAUGUGUGUGAAGCUAAUGUUUUAUUAUUAGAUGUUAUUUUUGAUGACUUUUAGCUGUCGCUUCGGCACUUUUGCCAGUUAUGAAUGUGCGAAAUCGUAAAAAUUCCUGUCAACGGUUACAACAAACGAUGUGAGGAAUUUUUCAAGAGAGGGAUGCAGCAUCAAGGGGGGAAGGGAAAGAAUGUGGGAAAAUUGUCGAUACGUGAGUCGUGCAGCUGCCAGCUGUUGGUAUUGGCAACCCAUUAAAAGUGUGAUGCGAUGCCACAACCCAAAAAAAAAAAAAAAAAAAAAGGGAGAACAACAAAAAGGAAUACAAGUUUUUGGCAUUACAAAUAUGCAUUUGAU